rnacentral:rRNA from 1 species
CAGUGGGGAAUAUUGCACAAUGGGCGCAAGCCUGAUGCAGCAACGCCGCGUGAGGGAUGACGGCCUUCGGGUUGUAAACCUCUUUUAGCAGGGAAGAAGCGAAAGUGACGGUACCUGCAGAAAAAGCGCCGGCUAACUACGUGCCAGCAGCCGCGGUAAUACGUAGGGCGCAAGCGUUAUCCGGAAUUAUUGGGCGUAAAGAGCUCGUAGGCGGUUUGUCGCGUCUGCUGUGAAAUCCGGAGGCUCAACCUCCGGCCUGCAGUGGGUACGGGCAGACUAGAGUGCGGUAGGGGAGAUUGGAAUUCCUGGUGUAGCGGUGGAAUGCGCAGAUAUCAGGAGGAACACCGAUGGCGAAGGCAG